rnacentral:rRNA from 1 species
GACGAACGCUGGCGGCGUGCUUAACACAUGCAAGUCGAACGGAAAGGCCCUGCUUUUGUGGGGUGCUCGAGUGGCGAACGGGUGAGUAACACGUGAGUAACCUGCCCUUGACUUUGGGAUAACUUCAGGAAACUGGGGCUAAUACCGGAUAGGAGCUCCUGCUGCAUGGUGGGGGUUGGAAAGUUUCGGCGGUUGGGGAUGGACUCGCGGCUUAUCAGCUUGUUGGUGGGGUAGUGGCUUACCAAGGCUUUGACGGGUAGCCGGCCUGAGAGGGUGACCGGCCAAAUUGGGACUGAGAUACGGCCCAGACUCCUACGGGAGGCAGCAGUGGGGAAUAUUGCACAAUGGGCGGAAGCCUGAUGCAGCAACGCCGCGUGCGGGAUGACGGCCUUCGGGUUGUAAACCGCUUUCGCCUGUGACGAAGCGUGAGUGACGGUAAUGUGUAAAGAAGCACCGGCUAACUACGUG